UUUCCCUGCUGCUCUGAGCAGUUAUAUAUGGAGUCCCUUCUUACAGUCUUUAGGGUUUAUUGAUCAGCACCGGUCUGUCCAGACGUAUCAAGAUGAUUUCACAGGCUCAGCUCAUCUGGCUGCUAGUGCUCUGGAUCCAGGACUCCAGUGGGCAGAUUGUGAUGACUCAGACUCCAGAAUCCCUGGCAGUGUCUCCUGGAGACAGAGUCACCAUCAACUGCAAAGCCAGUUCCAGCACAGGCAACAACGUAGCCUGGUACCAACAGAAAUCAGGACAAGCUCCUAAGCUUCUUAUCUAUGAUGCUACCUCCCGUUACACUGGGGUCCCAGCCCGGUUCAGUGGCAGUGGCUCUGGGAGUGGCUACACUGAUUACACUCUCACUAUCAGCAGCGUAGAAGCUGAAGAUGCUGGAGAUUACUAUUGUCAGCAGGGUUAUAGCUUCCCUCUCACAGUGAUACAGACCCAUACAAAAACCUCCCUGCCCUGUUUGCACCUGCCAGCUCAGACGUACCAAGAUGUUCUCCCCGACUCAGCUGCUCUGGCUACUGGCGCUCUGGCUUCCAGGGCGCAUAGGAGCUUCCAGUUCUGCUUCCGUCAUGCCACCGAAGAAGGAUCUUCUGCCGACGUGCUGCAGAAAACAGCGGCAGGCAAUUGA